UGCAGGUGGAGACGGUAAAAGGACUGAGCAGCAUAUUCGAUCUUUGACAGCUUCAGAAGCAGAGUCACAUUCAACAAAACUAGCAAGAGCAAACUAGGCAGAGCAAAUCAGACCUGGAAUCCCAGUCAGUGCUGACGUGCGACCACUAGCUUACAAAUCUACCAGCAGGUAACAGCUACCUGUAACGUGCCCUUUGGCAUCUAGGCCCACGUCUCCAGAAGAACGCAGAGAGGAAAGCUUAGGCACCGUUUCUGCUGUUCGGUUGAAGGUUCGCCUUCUCCUUCGUACCCCACUAAGUUUUCCAGGGUCUUCAAUGGACUGAUUUAACACAGAUUCUUCCAUUAACAAAUCUGAUUCUAAGAAGAAAAAAGAACUCUUUAGAUAGUGGAGAAAGCUUCUCAACUAUAAGAUACACAAGGCAUGAAGAGGAGAAAGGAAUCAUAUAAUCUCUUGUGUGUAUUACUAGUUUACAAAGAAUGUCAAAUGUUCCUGGUAGGGGGAAAAACUCAAAAUUCAAUGGAACCAAGCAAGGACCCCACCCCAAAAUUCAUCAAAGUUUAACAAAUCCACCCUUCACCAAAAAAGAGAAGGAAGAGGACAACCAGACAGAAACAGCACUUUCCCUCAACAGGAUUUGAAGUGGCCGAACCGUUCUCCUGUGAACCACACCUUUCCUACCUGUCCUCUGAGGUUAUGAGACUCUCCAACACCAGAAUGCCAAGCUUUUCUUAAAUGUUUGAAAAUCUUUUGAAAAAAAAUUGUCUUUUUUAAUACCGAUGGACAAAAACUACACUAGCACAACUAGCUCAGAUGUUGCUAGAUAUUUUCAAACUAUUUGCAGAAAAGAUACACUGAACUUCAACACAAACGGGCCUAACACAACUCCCACUAUAAGACAACGCCACACGGGUCACAGAGUACAGCAUUAGAUAUCUUGUAAUCUCUUCUCCAUAUGUCACAGCAGCCAUCUAGUUAUUUGGCCCUAACUUUUCACACGAUCCCAUAAAUCAGAUUCCAGUAGUGUUCUUUUUUAAGCCAUUUAUUGUGGAAAAAGUUCAAAUGUACAAGAAGAGUGAAAACGAAGUCGAACGAACACUUAUAACUCAUCAACCAGCUUCAACAACAUUAACUCCUGCCCAGGCCUGUUUCAUCUGUACCUUUCCCCACGUUCCCUCCCCCACCACCAGCCUCUGCCUGGCCAGACUACUCUCAAAGGAUAUCCCAGACAUCAAUACAAUUUCAUCCAUAAACACAUCAGUGUAUCUCUUUGUAAAUUCUUCAGUACGUCUCUUUAAAAGAUAAAAUUAUUCUCUUUAAAAUACAGCUACAAUAUCAUUAUUACAUAUAAAAAAUUAACAUUUCCUUAAAUCUCAUAACUACCUCUUUACAGUUGGUUUACAGUUGGUUUGUUUGAAUUAGGACUGGGUUGAUAUGGUUGAUUUGCCUCUUAAAUCUCUUUUUAACCUGUAACAGUUUCUCCUCCCUUUUUUACUUGCCAUGUGUUUGUUGACAUUGUUUUGUAAAUUGGUGACUGUAACAGGCAUCUUCUCUCUUCCCACACGCAUGAUACUAACAGAG